UUUCUUUCAAAUUCAUCGUAAUUCAAACUAUACUUCAAACAAUUAACAUUUUUUAACAUUGUUUACAUCCAAUCCGUUGCGGAAAAAAUGUUUAGUAUAACCCGAACAUGAUAUAUCGUUCAAAAUCCAGUGAAAAUUUUCACUUGAUCUCCGAAAAUCUACAGUUUUUUUCGGGUUGCACAAUUUUCCACGUUUUCAUUAGCGUUCACCCCGCAGACAACUGGCCGCUGAGACGCCCGUUGAGUAGGAAAAUACGUAAUAGUGAGUUCCAGAGUCGAUUAUUUUAUGCAGUUUCAUUAGGAUGCGUCACCAAUCUGAGAAGUAUUUCAUGCCCAUGUCAAUAUUAUGCACCAAUUAUUCAGACUUAGAUCUCGGAGAUCAGCAGCGCUUAGCGACCAUAAUGAGGACCGCAAAAUAGUGGAACUUGUAAUAAUUCCAUGUAUUUAUAUAUAUCGUGCAUAUAUAGGCAUAAUUUGCCAAAUUCAAUCUCAGGAAUGGAUUUCGCAAGUUAUGACAUAGUUCUGUCAUGUAUUUUUAGGGUAAAAAUUGUACACAUCAAUUUACGCCUAAUUUCAGUAAGUCUUCACCGUCGCUCAUUUGUUUUCUGCCUCCGCCAUAUUGGAAGAUAAUCUAUGAAAGUGCAGACGUGUGUAUCAAUUGUCUACAAACAGAUCCAAUAGUCCAAGUGCGACACAAAAAUGAAAAAACUUGAAGAUAUGCGAGUUGUGGAAUUACGCGCUGAGUUAGAAAAAAGAAAUUUGGAUAAAAACGGUGUCAAAGCUGUUUUGAUCGAGCGCUUGAAAAAGGCUCUUGAAGACACG
rnacentral:lncRNA from 1 species